rnacentral:rRNA from 1 species
GAAUAUUGGACAAUGGGGGCAACCCUGAUCCAGCCAUGCCGCGUGUGUGAAGAAGGCCUUUUGGUUGUAAAGCACUUUAAGCAGUGAAGAAGACUCCAUGGUUAAUACGCAUGGACGAUGACAUGAGCUGCAGAAUAAGCAACGGCUAACUCUGUGCAAGCAGCCGAGGUAAUACAGAGGGUGCAAGCGUUAAUCGGAAUUACUGUGCGUAAAGCGAGCGUAGGUGGCUUGAUAAGGCAGAUGUGAAAUCCCCGGGCUUAACCUGGGAACUGCAUCUGAUACUGUUAGGCUAGAAUAGGUGUGAGGAAGGUAGGAUUCCAGGUGUAGGGGUGAAAUGCGUAGAGAUCUGGAGGAAUACCGAUGGCGAAGGCAGCCUUCUGGCAUCAUAUUGACACUGAGGUUCGAAAGCGUGGGUAGCAAAC